UCCCCCCAAAAACCCGUCUCUAAUACACUCCCUUCUCCUCGCCAUCAAACGCCCAUUUCCGCCGCCGAAAAUCGCCUCACGGCGAAGGAGCACCACCAAAUAACCCCAAGUCAUCACCUUAUACUCCCUGUCACCUCCCUAUAUCCCCCUGCAAUUAGUUCCACCACAAAACCCCAGGAUUGCUCGAUUAGUAGAUCUAAAUAUGACCAAAAGCCUAAAAUUGCUCCAUUUCUUGAUUUUCUCCAAUCUUGAUCAGUUUGAGUAGUCAAAUCGACAUCAAUCGGUUGCUCUUGAGAAGAGCAAUCGGUUGAUGCUAAUUUCAAUUCAUUGCAUGGCCACCGGAGUCCGGGCAAAUGCUAUUGACCAUCGCCAACUUCUCCUUUUCUCGUUCCGGCUAAGUUCGGCCUCAGAUGAUCUGGUUAUUAUUUCAAAUUGUCUCACUCGUUCAGAUAGUUGUCACCCACACAUGCUUAUGGAACUUACCGCAAACACCUUGUCUAGUUGGAGAUAGUCUGUGAUCUGAAGCAUUUUCAUAACUCGAACAGGCUAGUUUAACAUCAUAAAUCUGAAUAUGGAAUGAAUUGGUGCAAUUUUUUACGCAAAUAAAUCAUGUGUGUCCAUUUUAUAUAUAUAAAAGUGUAAUUGGUAAUUUGGCGACUA